rnacentral:rRNA from 1 species
GGGAUGGAGAGUUUGAUCCUGGCUCAGGGGGAACGCUGGCGGCGUGCCUAAUGCAUGCAAGUCGGACGGGAGCGCGCGAUGAGCGCGCCGACCGUGGCGGACGGGUGCGUAACACGUGGGGAACCUGCCCUGGUGCGGGGGAUAACCCGGGGAAACUCGGGCUAAUACCCCAUACGCUCGUCGAGCGGUGGGCUUGACGAGGAAAGGCCGUGGAGAGCGGCUGCGCUAGGAGGGCCCUGCGGCCUAUCAGCUAGACGGUAGGGUAACGGCCUACCGUGGCGAUGACGGGUAGCUGGUCUGAGAGGAUGGCCAGCCACACGGGCACUGAGACACGGGCCCGACUCCUACGGGAGGCAGCAGCAGGGAAUCUUCCGCAAUGGGGGCAACCCUGACGGAGCGACGCCGCGUGCGGGAGGAAGCCCUUCGGGGUGUAAACCGCUGUUCGGGGGGACGACGGGGAGACGGUACCCCCGGAGCAAGUCCCGGCUAACUACGUGCCAGCAGCCGCGGUAAGACGUAGGGGGCGAGCGUUACCCGGAGUCACUGGGCGUAAAGGGCGUGUAGGCGGCUGGGUACGCCGCGUGUGAAAGCCCCCGGCUCAACCGGGGAGGGUCGCGCGGGACGGCCUGGCUCGAGGGCGGGAGAGGCGGGUGGAAUUCCCGGUGUAGCGGUGAAAUGCGUAGAGCUCGGGAGGAACACCGGUGGCGAAGGCGGCCCGCUGGCCCGUACCUGACGCUGAGGCGCGAAGGCGUGGGGAGCGAACCGGAUUAGAUACCCGGGUAGUCCACGCAGUAAACGAUGCGGGCGAGGUGUGGGUGGAGUUGACCCCAUCCGUGCCGGCGCCAACGCAGUAAGCCCGCCGCCUGGGGAGUACGGCCGCAAGGCUAAAACUCAAAGGAAUUGACGGGGGCCCGCACAAGCAGCGGAGCGUGUGGUUUAAUUCGACGCAACGCGAAGAACCUUACCAGGGCUUGACAUGCCCCGGAACCCUGCCGAAAGGUGGGGGUGCCCGUUGAGGGAGCCGGGGCACAGGUGCUGCAUGGCUGUCGUCAGCUCGUGCCGUGAGGUGUUGGGUUAAGUCCCGCAACGAGCGCAACCCUCGGGGUCAGUUACGCGGGUGUCUGACCCGACUGCCGGGGAAAGCCCGGAGGAAGGAGGGGAUGACGUCAAGUCAGCAUGGCCCUGACGCCCUGGGCGACACACACGCUACAGUGACCGGGACAGAGGGCAGCGAAGGGGCGACCCGGAGCCAAUCCCAGAAACCCGGUCGUGGUGGGGAUCGCAGGCUGCAACCCGCCUGCGUGAACGCGGAGUUGCUAGUAACCGCCGGUCAGCCAUACGGCGGUGAAUACGUUCCCGGGCCUUGUACACACCGCCCGUCACGUCACGAAAGCUGGUCUCACCUGAAGCCGGUGGGCCAACCUGGGGGGAAGCUCCUGGGGGGCAGCCGUCUAAGGUGGGGCUGGUGAUUGGGACGAAGUCGUAACAAGGUAGCCGUACCGGAAGGUGCGGCUGGAUCACCUCCUUUCUA